rnacentral:lncRNA from 1 species
UGCUGCUGCUAUGAUCAAAAUGGGAGAUAUUAGUCCCCUAACUGGUCAAAAUGGGAUCAUAAGAAAAGUUUGUGGCAGUGUCAACUAGUUCUUAAAUUCCACACUGUUUCUAUGAUUGGUUUUAUUUUUAUGAAGUAUAUUUAUAUGUUUGAUACUGAAGUGUAAUCUCAUUCCAUUCUAUUUGUUUCUUUGAUAUGUAUUCAUAAAGUAUAUUUGUAUGUUUGAUGAACUGAAGUGUAAUCUCAUCCAUUCUAUUUGUUUCUUUGAUAUGUAAGAUUAAAGACGUUGUUUUUUAUGCAAAUAAUAAAAGUUUUUUGUGUUACGUUUGCUGUAAUGCUU